CGAGGCGCUUUCGAAGAGUCGGGUUGUUUGGGAAUGCAGCCCAAAGCGGGUGGUAAACUCCACCUAAGGCUAAAUAGGGGCACGAGACCGAUAGCGAAAAAGUACCGUGAGGGAAAGAUGAAAAGCACUUUGAAAAGAGAGUCAAAGAGUACGUGAAACCGUUGGAGGGGAAGCGAAUGCGGCCAGCAAUGUCUUCGYGCAGAUUCAGCCGGUCACCGGGUAAGGCGUUCGACAACGGAUCCGAAGGGACCGCGUCGUCCGUCAUGAAUCCGGUGUCCGUGUCGCAUUUCUGCCGACGACGUGCCAGCGCCGGUGGGUGGCGAUGUCGUGACGGCAGCGUGAGGUGGUCGUGCCCUUGUCYGGGGGUGCGUCGUUAUAGACGUUGUCGUAGGCGUGGUCGCCCACCGUGGAGACGGAAUGCCGGUGGCGGCGCACGCCGGCUCUGCCGGCUAGGCGGGGUGUCGACGCUUCGGGGUCCUYGUGCGGACUGCAUGCAGUGCGCGCUGGGGCGUCGUGGUCGUGGAUGCCCGCGGCCGUAGGUGCGCCGAGGGCGCUGGCGGUGAAAUGGCCUCAUCCGACCCGUCUUGAAACACGGACCAAGGAGUCUAACACGCGUGCGAGUCCGGGGGUGUGGAAACCCUUCGGCGCAAUGAAAGUGAACGUUAUGGGUGAGAGCCGUGUCGGGCGUGCGCGGCGCAUCAUCGACCGAUCUCGUCUGCUCCCAGAGAGGUUCGAGUAGGAGCGCGCGUGUUGGGACCCGAAAGAUGGUGAACUAUGCCCGAAUAGGGUGAAGCCAGAGGAAACUCUGGUGGAGGCUCGCAGCGGUUCUGACGUGCAAAUCGAUCGUCAAAUUUGGGUAUAGGGGCGAAAGACUAAUCG
rnacentral:rRNA from 1 species